rnacentral:rRNA from 1 species
AGAGUUUGAUCCUGGCUCAGGAUGAACGCUAGCGGCAGGCUUAACACAUGCAAGUCGCGGGGCAGCGGGGGAUGAGCUUGCUCAUCCCGCCGGCGACCGGCGCACGGGUGAGUAACACGUAUGCAACCUGCCCCUGUCAGGGGGACAACCCACCGAAAGGUGGGCUAAACCCGCGUACAUCCGGAGGGGGCAUCCCCUUGGGAGGAAAGGAGCGAUCCGGACAGGGAUGGGCAUGCGGCGCAUUAGCUAGACGGCGGGGUAACGGCCCACCGUGGCGACGAUGCGUAGGGGUUCUGAGAGGAAGGCCCCCCACACUGGUACUGAGACACGGACCAGACUCCUACGGGAGGCAGCAGUGAGGAAUAUUGGUCAAUGGUCGGGAGACUGAACCAGCCAAGCCGCGUGAGGGAAGAAGGUACAGCGUAUCGUAAACCUCUUUUGCCGGGGAACAAGAGCUUCCACGAGUGGGAGUGUGAGCGUACCCGGAGAAAAAGCAUCGGCUAACUCCGUGCCAGCAGCCGCGGUAAUACGGAGGAUGCGAGCGUUAUCCGGAUUUAUUGGGUUUAAAGGGUGCGUAGGCGGCGAGUUAAGUCAGCGGUAAAAGCCCGGGGCUCAACCCCGGCCCGCCGUUGAAACUGGCUGGCUUGAGUUGGGGAAAGGCAGGCGGAAUGCGCGGUGUAGCGGUGAAAUGCAUAGAUAUCGCGCAGAACCCCGAUUGCGAAGGCAGCCUGCCGGCUCCACACUGACGCUGAGGCACGAAAGCGUGGGUAUCGAACAGGAUUAGAUACCCUGGUAGUCCACGCAGUAAACGAUGAAUGCUUGCUGUCCGGGGGGGAUUUGCCCCCUGGGGGGCGCAGCGAAAGCGAUAAGCAUUCCACCUGGGGAGUACGCCGGCAACGGUGAAACUCAAAGGAAUUGACGGGGGCCCGCACAAGCGGAGGAACAUGUGGUUUAAUUCGAUGAUACGCGAGGAACCUUACCCGGGCUCAAACGGGAGACGCCGCAGGCAGAGACGCCUGUUUCCUUAGGGACGUCUUCCGAGGUGCUGCAUGGUUGUCGUCAGCUCGUGCCGUGAGGUGUCGGCUUAAGUGCCAUAACGAGCGCAACCCCCGCGGGCAGUUGCUAACAGGUUAAGCUGAGGACUCUGCCCGGACUGCCGGCGCAAGCCGCGAGGAGGGCGGGGAUGACGUCAAAUCAGCACGGCCCUUACGUCCGGGGCGACACACGUGUUACAAUGGGCGGUACAGCGGGAAGCCAGGCGGCGACGCCGAGCGGAACCCGAAAGCCGUUCUCAGUUCGGAUCGGAGUCUGCAACCCGACUCCGUGAAGCUGGAUUCGCUAGUAAUCGCGCAUCAGCCAUGGCGCGGUGAAUACGUUCCCGGGCCUUGUACACACCGCCCGUCAAGCCAUGGGAGCCGGGGGUGCUUGAAGUGCGUCGCCGCGAGGCGCGCCCUAGAGCAAAACCGGUGACUGGGGCUAAGUCGUAACAAGGUAACC